AUUGAACGCUGGCGGCAGGCCUAACACAUGCAAGUCGAGCGGUGCGGCGGACGGGUGAGUAUUUCCUAAGCAUCUGCCUGGUCGCGAUGGAUAACGUCCGGAAACGGGCGCUAAAACCACAAACUAUCAGACGAGCCUAGGUCGGAUUAGCUGGUUGUGGGGGUAAAGCACUACCAAGGCGAAGAUCCGUAACUGGUCUGAGAGGAUGAUCAGUCACACUGGAACGGAGACACGGGCCAGACUCCUGCGGUAGGCAGCAGUGGGGAAUAUGGGACAAUGGGCGAAAGCCUGAUCCAGCCAUGCCGCGUGUGGGAAGAAGGUCUUCGGGUUGGAAAGCACUUUAAGUUGGGAGGCGUUACUAGCAGAAUAAGCACCGGCUAACUCCGUGCCAGCAGCCGCGGUAAUUC
rnacentral:rRNA from 1 species